rnacentral:SRP_RNA from 9 species
CCCGCGCUGGCGGGAGUGAAAGGUCAAAGUGGCUGGCAGAAGCCUCGAAGCUGCUCGAGGAAGCGAGAGCGAUCCGGACGUCUGUGCUGGGCUCGGAUCACCCGCUGACCAAGGCAGCAGACAAGGGCUGGAAGGAGGCAGCAAAGGAGCUGCUCAAGUGUGCAGGAGGAGAGCAAGCUUUGUCUAUGCAAGC